GCAGUAGCCGCGGUAAUACGGAGGAUCCAAGCGUUAUCCGGAAUCAUUGGGUUUAAAGGGUCCGUAGGCGGUCUUGUAAGUCAGUGGUGAAAGCCCAUCGCUCAACGGUGGAACGGCCAUUGAUACUGCAGGACUUGAAUUAUUGGGAAGUAACUAGAAUAUGUAGUGUAGCGGUGAAAUGCUUAGAGAUUACAUGGAAUACCAAUUGCGAAGGCAGGUUACUACCAAUUGAUUGACGCUGAUGGACGAAAGCGUGGGUAGCGAACAGGAUUAGAUACCCCCGUAGUCCCUGUCUCUUAUAC
rnacentral:rRNA from 1 species